UACGGGGGGGAGCAAGCGUUUGUUCGGAAUUACUGGGCGUAAAGAGCGCGUAGGCGGCCCGAUAAGUCUGCUGUGAAAAGUCCAGGGCUCAAUGGAAUGCCGGUGGAUACUGCGGGGGCUAGAGUGCGGGAAGGGGGCAACUGGAAUCUUGGUGUAGCGGUGAAAUGCGUAGAUAUCAGGAAGAACACCAAUGCGAAAGCAGCUCUCUGGGGACGGUACUGACGCUGAGACGCGAAAAGCGUGGGGGAGCGAAACAGG
rnacentral:rRNA from 1 species